rnacentral:rRNA from 1 species
GUGCCAAGCAGCCGCGGUAACACCAGCGCUACGAGUGGCAAUCGUGUUUAUUGGGCCUAAAGCGUCCGUAGCCGGUUUAAUAAAUCUUUUGUGAAAUUAUUCGGCUUAACCGAAUAGCGUGCAGAAGACACUGUUAGACUAGGAACCGGAAGGAGUCAGAGGUAUUCCUUGGGGAGCGGUAAAAUGCUAUAAUCCUCGGAGGACCACCUGCGGCGAAGGCGUCUGACUAGUACGGAUUCGACGGUGAGGGACGAAAGCCAGGGGAGCAAACCGGAUUAGAUACGAGAAGUUUUCUUAAAAGUAAUAUCUGGACUUUUUCACAAGUUUGCAAGAAAUAUACUUUGUGAGAAUACAAAACAGAAUGUUAUGAUUACUAUCUCGCUAAUGACCCGAGUAGUCCUGGCCGUAAACGCUGCGAGCUAGGUGUUGCAUAAUCUAUUGGAUUAUGCAAUGUCGAAGCGAAGGUGUUAAGCUCGCCGCCUGGGAAGUAUAGUCGCAAGACCGAAACUUAAAGGAAUUGGCGGGGGAGCACUACAAGGGGUGCGGCGUGCGGUUUAAUCGAACUCAACGCCGAAAAUCUCACCAGCAGCGACGGCAGAAUGAAGGUCAGAUUGAAGGUCUUACCUGACAAGCCGAGAGGAGGUGCAUGGCCGUCGUCAGCUCGUGCCGUGAGGUGUCCAGUUAAGUCUGGCAACGAGCGAGACCUAUACCUACAAUUGCCAUCGACUGGUUUACCAGGAUUGGGCACAAUGUAGGGACUGCCUUGGAAACAAGGAGGAAGGUAUAGUCUACGGCAGGUCUGUGAUGCCC